GCAGAGCCUGUGGUGCACCUGUGCGUCGAGAGAGAAAGAGGAUGAGUAGCCACCGUUCACGUCAGAAGAUGUGCUGUUAUUUACAAAACGAUGUAUGUGCCAUGCAUGAAAUCAUCCUUAACAGCACCCAGACUUUAGCCCUGGAAGGUAGGCAAGGCUGCCUUUAGGUGAGGUCACAACUGUAGGUGGGUGUAAUAGUAUCGUGUGGAGACUGCCCUUCCGAAAGGUCUGAGAUAUGAAUAAGGCUCAACUGAAUACUUGUGGUUUCUGUAUUCUGAUCCUAGAUCCGUGGUAGACAUUAUUUUUUCACCUAAAUAUUCUAGCAUCGGCAUUAUAUUAUGCUGUUUUAAAUUCACAAUACAAUUACGUCACCGGGUCAAACAGGGGCUAGGCUGGGAAGUGGUGAAUCUACAUGUAGUCUCCACUACCACUAUAUAGUUUCUGGUCAUUUCAAUUAAGCGGAUUGCAGCUUUAUGGCCCUAGGACUUCAGGAAACGUGUGUUCAGACAUUGCCUCUGCUUCACAAGAGUCUUGUUUCUGUUGAACUUCCACGGCCUUAUUGGAAAUCAAUGAUUGUUUCUGAUCUUCAAACUGUCAUGUUGAGGAGACCUAAAGAUUAACUCACUCAAUAAAAUGGUUUGAGAU
rnacentral:lncRNA from 1 species